rnacentral:rRNA from 1 species
GGGGGCAACAGCAGAGUGAAGGUCAAGCUGAAGACUUUACCAGACAAGCUGAGAGGAGGUGCAUGGCCGUCGCCAGCUCGUGCCGUGAGGUGUCCUGUUAAGUCAGGUAACGAGCGAGAUCCCUGCCUCUAGUUGCUACCAUUAUUCUCAGGAGUAGUGGAGCUAAUUAGAGGGACCGCCGUCGCUGAGACGGAGGAAGGGGGGCUACGGCGGUCAGUAUGCCCGAACCCUCGGGCCACACCGGGCUGCAAUGGUAAGGACAAUGAGUUUCGAUUCCGAAAGGAGGAGGCAAUCUCUAAACCUUACCACAGUUAUGAUUGAGGGCUGAAACUCGCCCUCAUGAAUAUGGAAUCCCUAGUACCGCGUGUCACUAUCGCGCGGUGAAUACGUCCCACUCUUGCACUCCCGCCCGUAAUCGAAUUCCCGGGCGCCAUGGCGGGGGAGCAU